UACGUAGGGCGCAAGCGUUGUCCGGAAUUAUUGGGCGUAAAGAGCUCGUAGGCGGUUUGUCGCGUCUGCUGUGAAAACCCGAGGCUCAACCUCGGGCCUGCAGUGGGUACGGGCAGACUAGAGUGCGGUAGGGGAGAAUGGAAUUCCUGGUGUAGCGGUGGAAUGCGCAGAUAUCAGGAGGAACACCGAUGGCGAAGGCAGUUCUCUGGGCCGUAACUGACGCUGAGGAGCGAAAGCGUGGGGAGCGAACAGG
rnacentral:rRNA from 1 species